CAAAGAGAAAGAGGGAGAUGAGUAUGAGUCAGGGUACGAAAAAGAGGGCGUGAUUAAUGAAGGGUGAUAUACGUGUUCGUGUGUUUUUCCAUGUGUAUUUUUGUUUGCUUGUUUGUAUGUUGGGCCUCUCGCUUAAUGCGUGU
rnacentral:ribozyme from 1 species